CUACGGGUUGCUGCAGUGGGGGAUAUUGCACAAUGGGCGCAAGCCUGAUGCAGCCAUGCCGCGUGUAUGAAGAAGGCCUUCGGGUUGUAAAGUACUUUCAGCGGGGAGGAAGGGAGUAAAGUUAAUACCUUUGCUCAUUGACGUUACCCGCAGAAGAAGCACCGGCUAACUCCGUGCCAGCAGCCGCGGUAAUACGGAGGGGGCGAGCGUUAAUCGGAAUUACUGGGCGUAAAGCGCACGCAGGCGGUUUGUUAAGUCAGAUGUGAAAUCCCCGGGCGCAACCUGGGAACGGCAUCUGAUACUGGCAAGCUUGAGUCUCGUAGAGGGGGGUAGAAUUCCAGGUGUAGCGGUGAAAUGCGUAGAGAUCUGGAGGAAUACCGGUGGCGAAGGCGGCCCCCUGGACGAAGACUGACGCUCAGGUGCGAAAGCGUGGGGAGCAAACAGGAUUAGAUACCCCGGUAGUC
rnacentral:rRNA from 1 species